AAAUUUGGAUUCAAUACUUCUUGUUCUUUAUCGUCUACUUUUUAACCAGAAUGAAAAGACAAGUGGAUUUUGAUUUAUCAAAACCAUGCCAUAAAUCAAAAAAAAGGGUUAUUUUAUUUUAAUAAAUUAUAUAUUUUAUAUUUUAUCUAUAUUUAUAUAUUUUUUUUUUGUUUAUUAAUUGUCUUUAGUAAGCAUAAUUUUCUACUCUGAUCCUAUAAUUUAACCUGAAUCCCCCUCUCUUUCCCUAUCGAUCCCUUACAGUGAUCAUUUACUGUAUUUUUUUUUUAACCCUCUACUUUAUAUCUAUCUAAAAAACCUCAAAAAACUAUAAGAAUAUCUAUAACCGUGAAUCCCCCACUACCCACACAACCUAAUAUCUCUCUAUGCACCACCACCCCCCCACUCUUUCAUCUAUCCUUUUCUAUAGCCACCCAAACCCACUAUGCUAUUUCUCUAUCCCCCAUCACUUCUCUCUCUAUAACCACCCACUCUCCCAUCUCUCUAUCCACCACCGCCUCAAAUCUCAUCUCUCUAUCCAUCAUUUUCUGACCUCUGUACCUCACACCCCCCCCCCACUCUCAUCUCUCUAUGUACAACCUCCCCCACAAAUCUAAGAUUUCUAUUUCUAUCCACUACCACACUCUAACAUCUCUCCAUACACCACCAACUCUCUAAUCUGUCUAACCACCGCCCACACUCUAAUGUCUAUAUCCACCACCACCCACUCUAUCAUGACUCUAUCAAUUAAUGUCUCAAUUAUCUACUACCACCCCCCCCCCCCCACACCCACUCUCACUUCUCUAUAUACAACAACCAACACCACCACACUAAUCUAACAUCUCUCUUUCUACCACAACCACAUUCUUUCACCUCUCUAUGCCCCCUUUUUAUUUUUUAACUACACAUAUUUUAUUAAUUUUAUUUCAACUAUCUUAAUUUUAUUAAUUGUCUUACUAUUGGUUCUGCUUGUUUUGAAAAAAUAAUUAAUGUUGUAUUAUUAAUAACAUGUUUUUUUUUAACAUAUUUACAUGUAUCUUUCUUCUUUUAUAUAAUUUUAGAUUCUAUCUCAUUUUAAAUUUUCAAACAACAUAUUUCACUGUCCACCUUUAUCCCCUCUCUCUCUGUCAAACUGUUUACUAUUCUAUAUUCCACGUCUAUAUUAGAAUUUCAAAAUUUCUUUAACAAAUAGAAACCAACCCCCCCCCCCUUCUCUUGCCCCCAUCUCUCCAACCCCCGCCUUCUAACGCCCCCUUCUCCCCUCUCAUAUCGCUAUGCUAUAUGCCUCCUCUUUCUCUAGCACAAACCCCCUCUUAUUGCCCUCUUCUCCCCCCUAUCUCACUACUAUUGAUAUCUUUUCUCCACAAGAGCCACCAUUUAUUGACCGCUUUUCUCGCUCACCCCCACUCCCCCCUUAGUAUAGCCCUAUUUUACCCCACACAUCUGCUUUUGCUAUCUUCUCUCUGACCACCCAUCUCUUCUAUUGCCUCCGUUCUCUGUCAACCCUGUCCUAUCACCCCCUUGUCUAUGCCCCUUUUCCGAUGCCACUCUUCUCUAACCCAUCCACAUCUUAUUGCAAUCUCACUCCUCCCACUCCUCUCUCUCUUCUUAAUCACACUAUUCUGUCACCUACUCCACCGUCUCCUAUCUCCCCCUUCUAUAUUGUCUCUCUAUAUGUCCCUCUCUAUUCAUCUUUUUAUAAAAAUUUAUUCAAACUAAAACUAAAUUAAUUAAUAUUAAAAAAUCUUUGAUUACAUCUGUACCCCACCCCCCCCCUUCAAUUUUAUAUUAUAUCCUUUUUAACACAUUCAUUUUUCUUAUAUGAACAUUAGUCCUUGAUAAUUUUUUCUCUAUCACACUCUCUUUAUUUUUUAUUUUUUUUAAAUCAUAUCUAAGUAAUGAAUAAAAUGUGUAUUAAUUUGUAAAGAUUAAUAAUUAUUUUGUUUUUUUAUCUAAAUAAAAUUAUUGGUUAUAUACUUA